rnacentral:tRNA from 1 species
GGUGGCUCAGUGGUAGAGCGCUUGCCUUGCAUGUAUGAGGCCAUGGGUUUGAGUCCCUCACCA